UAGAGGAAGUAAAAGUCGUAACAAGGUUUCCGUAGGUGAACCUGCGGAAGGAUCAUUAUUGAAUAAAACUUGAACAGGUCUGUUGCUGGCUCCUCGGGGCAUGUGCACACUUGUCAUUUUUAUUUCAUUUCUCCUCUGUGCACCAACUGUAGGUCUGGAGUUUCUUGAAAUCCUUUGGUUUUUCGAUAGAGGACUGCUGUUCCUUUUGAAAAAGGGUCAGCUUUGCCUCAUGUCUUCCAGAUCUAUGUUUUUCUCUCACAAUCUCUCAAUGUGUUUUGGAAUGUCAAAUUGAUAUAUAUACAAUAUACAACUUUCAGCAACGGAUCUCUUGGCUCUCGCAUCGAUGAAGAACGCAGCGAAAUGCGAUAAGUAAUGUGAAUUGCAGAAUUCAGUGAAUCAUCGAAUCUUUGAACGCAUCUUGCGCUCCUUGGUAUUCUGAGGAGCAUGCCUGUUUGAGUGUCAUUAAGUUCUCGACCACAUUGAUUUGCUUUGAUGUGGAUUGGACAUGGGAUUUGCAGGCCCUUCUUUUUUUUCUAAAAAAAGUCUGCUCUCCUGAAAUACAUUAGUGGUAUCUGAGCAGAGACUACUACAGGUGUGAUAACUAUCUAUGCCUACUGUAGAAUGCUGUAUGAACUGCUUCAAACCCCAAUUUGUUUUUUUGACCAAUUUGACCUCAAAUCAGGUAGGACUACCCGCUGAACUUAAGCAUAUCAAUAAGCGGAGGAAAAGAAACUAACAAGGAUUCCCCUAGUAACUGCGAGUGAAGCGGGAAAAGCUCAAAUUUGAAAUCUGGCGGUUCUUGACUGUCCGAGUUGUAAUCUAGAGAAGUGUUACCCGUGCUGGACCGUGUACAAGUCUCCUGGA
rnacentral:rRNA from 1 species